rnacentral:rRNA from 1 species
CCCCCAGCAGGUAUAAGUAUUGGGGGUAAUGCCUGCCCAGUGACACUGUUAAACGGCCGCGGUAUCCUAACCGUGCAAAGGUAGCGUAAUCACUUGUCUUUUAAAUAAAGACUAGAAUGAACGGCCAAACGAGGCUCUAACUGUCUCUUACAAAUAAUCAGUGAAAUUGAUCUUCCCGUGCAAAAGCAGGAAUAACCACAUAAGACGAGAAGACCCUGUGGAACUUCAAAUAUAAAAUCAACUAUAAUUAACACCCACCCAACAGGCCUAUUGCCUAAUAGUAUUUGAUUCUUAUUUUCGGUUGGGGCGACCUCGGAGAAAAACAAAACCUCCGAAAAAUAAAAAACUUUUUAAACCUAGAGCAACAACUCAAAGUGCUCUCGGCAAAACGAUCCAAUAUAAUUGAUCAACGAACCAAGCUACCCCAGGGAUAACAGCGCAAUCCCAUUCUAGAGUCCCUAUCGACGAUGGGGUUUACGACCUCGAUGUUGGAUCAGGACAUCCUGAUGGUGUAGCCGCUAUCAAGGGUUCGUUUGUUCAACGAUU